UCCUACAAACAUUUGUGAAAGAAUGGGUCGCUGUCAGGAGGGAGAAUUUCCAGCAACAAAUCCAGUUGUUAAAAGUGGAACCAACUGGGAAUGACAACAACUCAGCCACAAAUUGGGUUGUCCUCUGGGGAUUUUGUAGGCGUGACGAUGGCAUGUAUAGAUUGCAUUCUUGGCCGGGUCUAACUUGAAAAAAGGAUUUUUCAAUCUUAAGGGACUUCUUGGUUAAAUAAAGUUGCCUUCCUUUGGAGGUUUUCUCGGCAUGCCCAGUUGGGAGGAGACGAUCCGGUAGACCCUGAAGUCGCUGGAGGGAUUAUACAUCUCAUCUCGUCUGGGAUGAUCUUGGGAUCCCGUGAGAGGACUUGGAAAGCACUGCUCAGGAGAAGGAUGCCUGGAAUACAGUGCUUAGCCCGCUACCACCAUGACCCAACUCCGGAUUAGUGGAAAAGAAUGGAUGACAGAUUUUUCCAACAUACAGCCUUCUGAAACAUUGGGAUAGCUGCUACGAAUUAAAAGACACUACUGUCACUUUGAACAAUGAUUGGCUGCGCACAAGGCUUUGUAUUGACUUGCCCACUGGCAGAUAAAGCUGUUUAUUGUUUAACAGUGGGGAUUUUCUUCAGUCUUGAGCAACUGGGAAAGGACUCAAAUCAUUUGUUUGUUAGCUGAUGCCUCGGGCAGCCCAACUGCAUAGGUUUUAUGUGCUGAAAAAAAGAAACUGAUCUGUAAAUCAGAUUUAAAAUGAAGGCACAAUGAAAACAAUGACCACAACCACAGAAAGUUAAACUAUUAAUUUAAUUUUAGUGGGAAAGACCACUGGCCGAUUGGCCAAUUUAAUUUAGUUUACCAUAAUUAAAUUAACUGAGAGGUACUCAUGUCUUACAGUAUUUCUAAUUGUAUUCAUCACACACUGGAUCAAAACUGAUCUCCAAAAAUAUCCUAUUUUACAGUGCACACUCACACACCUUUGUGACUUAUAUCUGUUCAUGUGCUCAUUAAUGCAAAUAUCUAAUCAGCCAGUCACAUGGCAGCAACUCAGUACGUUUGUUCAUUUAGGCUUGUAAAGAGGACACGAUCAAGAAGUCUUCCUGAAAUU